CCGUCAAUUCCUUUAAGUUUCAACCUUGCGGUCGUACUCCCCAGGCGGAGUGCUUAAUGUGUUAACUUCGGCACUAAAGGACGGAAAUCCUCUAACACCUAGCACUCAACGUUUACAGCAUGGACUACCAGGGUAUCUAAUCCUGUUUGCUACCCAUGCUUUCGAGCCUCAGCGUCAGUGACAGACCAGACAGCCGCUUUCGCCACUGGUAUUCUACCAUAUAUCUACGCAUUUCACCGCUACACAUGGUGUUCUACUGUCCUCUUCUGUACUCAAGUCGCUCAGUUUCCAAUGCACUUCUUCGGUUAAGCCGAAGGCUUUCACAUCGGACUUAAACAACCGCCUGCGCUCGCUUUACGCCCAAUAAAUCCGGAUAACGCUUGCCACCUACGUAUUACCG
rnacentral:misc_RNA from 1 species